UGUGUCCCUUGUGCUUUAGUAGGUGGCAGAACAGAGAACCUUUAUCUACGCUCAAUGUUCUGACCUAUGAACAUCUGAAUGAUUAAUAACAUAACAUU
rnacentral:snoRNA from 14 species